rnacentral:rRNA from 1 species
GAUGAACGCUGGCGGCGUGCCUAACACAUGCAAGUCGAGCGAGGGUUUGCUCAGUAUUGAGUAUUCUAAAACUAGAAUGUUCAAUUCUGAGCAAAACCAAGCGGCGGACGGGUGAGUAACGCGUGGGUAACCUGCCCUAUACACAUGGAUAACAUACUGAAAAGUUUACUAAUACAUGAUAAUAUAUAUUUGUGGCAUCGCAGAUAUAUCAAAGUGUUAGCGGUAUAGGAUGGACCCGCGUCUGAUUAGCUAGUUGGUGAGAUAACUGCCCACCAAGGCGACGAUCAGUAGCCGACCUGAGAGGGUGAUCGGCCACAUUGGAACUGAGACACGGUCCAAACUCCUACGGGAGGCAGCAGUGGGGAAUAUUGCACAAUGGGCGAAAGCCUGAUGCAGCAACGCCGCGUGAACGAUGAAGGUCUUCGGAUCGUAAAGUUCUGUUGCAGGGGAAGAUAAUGACGGUACCCUGUGAGGAAGCCCC